ACGAAAAACGUUCAAUUUCUGUAAUCUUUAUUCCCGUUUGUGACAUCCAUGAGCCGAAUUGUCUUGACUCUCAGUCAUAGAAUAAAUAGACUACGUCAACAGAAGCGAAAGCCGCCGCCAUUUUCAUGUCAUCGAAGCGAAACUGUGUCAAUAAGUACUGUUUACGUCUGCGAUGUGUGUGUGUGUAAGUGGUAGAUUGAUAACGGUCGCCUUGAAGCAUUGAAGUAACGGUUGACUUGACGGUUGUGAGUUUAGUUUUGUGAAUUUGUGCAGUUUGUGCUCUUAAAAGUUAAUUUUUUUCGUUAUCUUCAUUGAAGCUGCGUUACGUUUUGGAUUUGAAAACUCCUGGAGGAUGAGAACGUAGAACCAAUUUUGACACUAUUCUCUUUAGUUGCCUUGGAGAAAUUUGCUCAAACUAGUGAGUGGUCUUCAACUCUUAUUUGUUGUUUUGUUUUGCGUCUUCAGAUUGAUUCACGAUGGUCACUUACUUAUCUCAAAAUUUCAGAUACUUUGAGACUGAGCCUGUUAACCCGAUUCUAAAGCUUGAGCGUUUUGUUGAAUCUCAAGAUUAUGUGGAGGCACAAGUUGGAUUUUGUGCACAAUGGUGCUUAGAUAAUUUGUGUAAGUCUCAUGACAACUCGAUGGCCAGCCAUAUUGUAUGA
rnacentral:lncRNA from 1 species